CGAAAGAAGCAUUCUGGUGCGGCUCGCCAUUGUGCGGUGCUUCCCAGUGUACAGGGAACUUCCGAGCAGCCUCUCGUUUGAUUCUCACCCUCAUCUUACCACUCCCCGGUUCACAGAGAAGUUUUCUGACUAGGAAGUAGAAUUUUAGAUUUGGAGAGCUGGAAGGAACUACAGAAGAAACUAAUGUCCAGAGAAGAAGGGAACCUGUUGGCUCAUGUGCCUCAUCUCAGUGAAUGACACCAACAUCCCCGGACACCCAAGCCAGAGCUUGGUCCACCAUACGCAAUUCUUCCCAAGUCCCGCUAACGUCACCUCCUAAGUAUAUCACAUGCAUGCCCAAUUCUCUCUUGUGGUGACAAAUACAGUAACUUUGUCUAAGCCA